UUUGCAUUACAAGUGUUCACCCGUGGUUACAAGGGGAGUAGUAUGUGCCUGUCCUCCACCCUCAUUUACUUCCCUGCUCUGUUUCAGUGGGACCAUCAGCCUUUAUUAGAGACUGGCCUCACAAAUGGCUUCCUGUACUUGUCUUUCUAACUGCAAGACUGUGUGUAGCUGCUGUGGCUAUGCAGUGAUUCAUCAAAUGAUUUCCAGAAGAAACUAUGACAUUAUCCUACAAUAACCGGCCUCUGUGUCACUCUUACUUGGGACAAAUUCUACAAACAGCUUUGUCUUGCUCCCAUGUCAGCAUUUCUCUGAGUUGUUUAUAACCCUGAAGCCUGGGCUGUGUGUCCUGUCUCCUACCAUGCCAUCCAUGCUUGUACUUCUGCUUCUACAGUCACAGUGUACAAGUAUAAGUAAAAAUAAAACAGAAUAUAGCACCACUCACUAGAAAAGCAGAUGUUAUAUAAAAAAAAAAAAAUAAAAAAAAAAGUCCAGGCAAGCUGAUGCAAGUGACAUGAAGUAAACCUUGCAAACACUAAUCCUGAGGCUCUGAGAGUAAGUACACAACUACAGUCUGUUACUACCAAUGACGUUCCUGUGCAUACUGGGCUACUGGGGUAAAAAGUCCUAUGCAAACAUAAAUUACAAACCAUACCUGAUAGUAUUCAAGGUAAAAUCAAUUUCAAAGUUAACAAAGGAGACAGAAAACCUGGAAACACUGAACAACAGUGCUCAUGGACCAACCCUGGAGACCCUCAUGGAGAGAGUCGAACUACUGGCAAUUGGGAAUAUGAUGAUUUACUGUGAUGCCCUGCUGUACUUUUAUAACUAUUGUAUUCCGAUUCAUAUUGUAAUGGCACUGAGUAUAAAUUCUAGACAUCUCACAUAAAGUAUGUUCUUUUCAUGCAUUUAAUGAUGUUUUGAGUGCAACACUCAUUUUUUCAAACAAGAAAAAGAAAAUAUUGAUCAUUUAUUUGACUGGAUUUUUUCAGUGAUUAUUCUAUCAUUUUUAGUGCUUACUACAUCAAAAACCUUUUGCAGCAUCUUUCUAAGUCUGCAAUAAUAAGUAAGAUUUAAUCAUAAUCUACUACUUCCAAGUAAGAAUUAGUAUUCAUCAGCUGUUGGGACCUAGUUUUUGACACUUUGAAUUCAACCAUCUAGAGAACACAACCAAUCUCUGAAUUCAGCUCUGUAUUUGUGCUCUGUCUUAUUAUAAACUAAGUUGAAUUAUAUAUUUUAUAUGUAUCCUACUGUACAGUGUGGAAGUCAGAAAUGAUGCCUUCUUAAGGAAUUAUUUUCAGUUGAUUUUGUCAUGUUUGCCUUCAUAAGAAGAAAUAUAAUCAGCAAAUUAAUUGAGAGAUGUCCAAAAUAAAAUAUUUUUAAAUUUGUGCAUUGUCUGAUUACACCUUGAAAGUCUAAAGCAAGGAAGAUCAAAUACAAACACCAGAGGCCACAGAAUAACACUAGUAAGAGACAAUUACUACAUCAAGAGACAGCAUUGAUUAUUACAUUUGCCUUCACUUUUAUAAAUUAGUCUCCUUCAUUUUAUAUAUAUUUAUCUUACGUACAAAAAAGUGAAAUGGAAAAUUAAGAUUGAAUACAACUGUCUGUGGAGAAGGUUGGGCAGAGAGGUUGUAAACUUUUCCUCCAUGGAAGAUUUCUAGGCCAGGCCUGGGCUGUUUGAUCUGAUCCUGUGGCUGGUCCUGUCCUGCGAAUGAGGAUGUGCUGGAUAUCUCCAGAGGUCCUUUCCAGUCCCAGCAGGAAACAUACUGGAGCAAGGCAGGCUACUGGGCAAGAAGGGAAAACAGAUUUCAGUCUCUCUGUCAUCAUGUGGGCAGAUGCUUAUUGUGUGGUGGUUCUCUUUAGCCUAUACAUGAUAUAUCAGUUCAGUCUGUAACCUCCUUGAAACAUGGAAUGUGCCUGUUGCCAUUGCACAUCUCCUAGUUUGAUGGGACUAAGAAGCAGGGACUAUUACAAACCAAAUGAAUACAAUACAUUGUUAAGCAGAUAUUAAAUGACUAUUUGGGGAAUAAAUGUUUUUGCAUUGUGAUUCAUAGCAAAUUCUGCCUGUACAAAGUUGUGGUUAUUCCCUCCCAGUUGUAGGACUGUACAUUUGAUCUCGUUGAACCUCAUAAUGUUCCUCUCUACCCAACACUCACCUUGUCCAGGUCCCACUGAAUGGUAUCACAGCCUUCUGGCAUGUUGGACGUUCUUCCCAACUUUGCAUCAUCAGCAAAUUUGCUGAGGGUGCACUCUAUCUUUUCAUCCAGGUCAUUGAUGAAUAUUGUUGAUGUUGUAAUUCAUAAACAAUAUUAUACAUGUGACACAUACAAACUUCCCUCUUUUAGUUUGGAAACGGUUUGACUCUCGUUCAUGGACUGGUAUACUGGCUUUGUAUUCCUGCAGUGCCUGAUUGUUAUCAAAAGAUUUAGAUUGCUUUAUCUCUUAUUUCCACCUAUAUAAACCUUUAUGCUUCUUUUCUUUUUGUCUGCUGGCUGUUACACAGUGCUCAAUGAUGGUACUCUGGUAGGUUAUUUGAUGUAUAGCAGGUGGUUUGGUUUCCAGGUUGUACUUUUGAGUCUGCUUUUCAAUAGUUAUUCACCAUUAAAUGCAACUGAAUAAGA
ensembl:lncRNA